CGUUGCUGUUUGGUGCCAACACAAAACGUAUGGUUGCACAUUUUAUUACUUCCUCGCAGAUGCAUUAUACAUAUUAUACAGUAAUAACAGCAACGCCGCGAGUUAUGGAAAAAAAAUUUACUUAUAUAUAAAAAUCACAUUUAAAUAACGAUUAUGAUUUUAUUUUAGUUGUACGUAUAUGCGCAUAAACCGUGAUUGUACGACAUUUUUUCACGCGAUUGUUGAACGGAUAAUGUAAUAUAACAUUAUAUGCAGUUAAAUAUAGUGUUGAGCCGAAUACCUGCGAAAAAGAGGCGACGCCCUGUGUGCAAUAUAUUAUACAGGACGAUUCUGUUCUAAAGACUAUUUGAGAGUCCCAUUAUCGGGAUCUAUCUUAGACGACGAUGAUGCGAUAACGCGUGACGACAAAAUAAUAUUAUAAUAUUAUAUAGUUGUAAUGUGUCUCCGACGCCCAUGAUCAAUAAAAUAGUAACGAUAUAAAACAAUUUCACCGUGGCAUACUGGUGGCGUUGCAGUUUUGACCCUUCACCUCUCCACCGGCAUCCGUCAUUAUACAUUAUGUUUUAUAGUACGUAUAAUUUUACCAUCGUAAAUUUCAAUUAUUUCAUCGUCCGAGCAAUAAGAUGA